GACGAACGCUGGCGGCGUGCCUAAUACAUGCAAGUCGAGCGAGUCUGCCUUGAAGAUCGGAGUGCUUGCACUCUGUGAAACAAGAUACAGGCUAGCGGCGGACGGGUGAGUAACACGUGGGUAACCUGCCCAAGAGAUCGGGAUAACACCUGGAAACAGAUGCUAAUACCGGAUAACAACAGAUGAUGCCUACCAACUGUUUAAAAGAUGGUUCUGCUAUCACUCUUGGAUGGACCUGCGGUGCAUUAGCUAGUUGGUAGGGUAACGGCCUACCAAGGCGAUGAUGCAUAGCCGAGUUGAGAGACUGAUCGGCCACAUUGGGACUGAGACACGGCCCAAACUCCUACGGGAGGCAGCAGUAGGGAAUCUUCCACAAUGGACGCAAGUCUGAUGGAGCAACGCCGCGUGAGUGAAGAAGGGUUUCGGCUCGUAAAGCUCUGUUGUUGGUGAAGAAGGACAGGGGUAGUAACUGACCUUUGUUUGACGGUAAUCAAUUAGAAAGUCACGGCUAACUACGUG
rnacentral:rRNA from 1 species